UACGUAGGGUGCGAGCGUUGUCCGGAAUUAUUGGGCGUAAAGAGCUCGUAGGCGGUUUGUCGCGUCGGCCGUGAAAACUUGGGGCUUAACUCCAGCUUGCGGUCGAUACGGGCAGACUUGAGUUCGGCAGGGGAGACUGGAAUUCCUGGUGUAGCGGUGAAAUGCGCAGAUAUCAGGAGGAACACCGGUGGCGAAGGCGGGUCUCUGGGCCGAUACUGACGCUGAGGAGCGAAAGCGUGGGGAGCGAACAGG
rnacentral:rRNA from 1 species